rnacentral:rRNA from 1 species
CGGAGGAAAAGAAACUAACAAGGAUUCCCCUAGUAGCGGCGAGCGAAGCGGGAAGAGCUCAAAUUUAUAAUCUGGCACCUUCGGUGUCCGAGUUGUAAUCUCUAGAAAUGUUUUCCGCGUUGGACCGCACACAAGUCUGUUGGAAUACAGCGGCAUAGUGGUGAGACCCCCGUAUAUGGUGCGGACGCCCAGCGCUUUGUGAUACAUUUUCGAAGAGUCGAGUUGUUUGGGAAUGCAGCUCAAAUUGGGUGGUAAAUUCCAUCUAAAGCUAAAUAUUGGCGAGAGACCGAUAGCGAACAAGUACCGUGAGGGAAAGAUGAAAAGCACUUUGGAAAGAGAGUUAACAGUACGUGAAAUUGUUGGAAGGGAAACGCUUGAAGUCAGACUUGCUUGCCGAGCAAUCGGUUUGCAGGCCAGCAUCAGUUUUCCGGGAUGGAUAAUGGUAGAGAGAAGGUAGCAGUUUCGGCUGUGUUAUAGCUCUCUGCUGGAUACAUCUUGGGGGACUGAGGAACGCAGUGUGCCUUUGGCGGGGGUUUC